rnacentral:rRNA from 1 species
AGGAAUUAGCUUGCUAAUUUGCUGACGAGCGGCGGACGGGUGAGUAAUGCCUGGGAAAUUGCCCUGAUGUGGGGGAUAACCAUUGGAAACGAUGGCUAAUACCGCAUGAUGUCCUUUUCUUAACGGAAUGGGACCAAAGAGGGGGACCUUCGGGCCUCUCGCGUCAGGAUAUGCCCAGGUGGGAUUAGCUAGUUGGUGAGGUAAGGGCUCACCAAGGCGACGAUCCCUAGCUGGUCUGAGAGGAUGAUCAGCCACACUGGAACUGAGACACGGUCCAGACUCCUACGGGAGGCAGCAGUGGGGAAUAUUGCACAAUGGGCGCAAGCCUGAUGCAGCCAUGCCGCGUGUAUGAAGAAGGCCUUCGGGUUGUAAAGUACUUUCAGUUGUGAGGAAGGCAGUUGCGUUAAUAGCGUAAUUGUUUGACGUUAGCAACAGAAGAAGCACCGGCUAACUCCGUGCCAGCAGCCGCGGUAAUACGGAGGGUGCGAGCGUUAAUCGGAAUUACUGGGCGUAAAGCGCAUGCAGGUGGUCUGUUAAGUCAGAUGUGAAAGCCCCGGGCUUAACCCGGGAUGGUCAUUUGAAACUGGCAGGCUAGAGUACUGUAGAGGGGGGUAGAAUUUC